ACUAUUUUGGCAGAAAAAUGUGAUAAAUUUAGAGUUUAUUUAUGUAAUAAAAAUAUUACAAAUAGUA
rnacentral:tRNA from 1 species